rnacentral:lncRNA from 1 species
CUCCCUAAUCUUAUGUUCUGGCCCCUUUAAUCCAGCACCUACAGGAUCCAGUCCCACGUGAACUCCUCGAAUACUGCUAAAAUAUGCUGGCAGAGACCAUCUGCUCAUUUGGGAUCUCUCCUCCCUUUCUUUCAUCAUCAAUCAUCAGACAUAGCACAUACUUGACUGGGCUAUGCAAUGUCUUUACCCUACUUAUACGUCUAUUUACUGAAAGCAGAGUUGGAGGGGAGAAGCCUAUUUGUUGUCUUCAAGCAAGGCUGGAAUGCAGGAGUUGAAGAGAGACUGGCUCUUCCCAGGGCAAAGAAGGAAAAUUUUGCAGGCUCAGAAGGUUUGAAAGACUAUGGAAGUUCAAAAUUCAGAGCAUCAUCCAUCCUGAUGUCCUGCCAAGUUCCAGAGUUCCAUCGUCCCCACCCCCGUUCCCUCAAAUGUCUCCAUACUCUUUGGUCUUCAGACUGAAUAUGUCCAUGAACUAAAAAAGGCAGAGCCAACUUACACUUACAGAGAGGUUGUCAUGUGACUAGCUCAAUUUAUUGAAAUCCCACCAGAGCCAAUAAUUAGUAGGAUUCCGGGGACCAUUUUCUUACCAAAUACUGAAACAAGUAAAUGUAUUUAAUCUCCAGUUUGGCUGCAAUGAGAAGGCUCCAUAAUGAUGAGAAAUUGCAUCCUGAUUUUAGCUGAUUUAAGUUUUAAAGAAAUGUUGUUUGUACACACUAUUAUCUUUAAGCUCUAUGCUGACAAAAUUACUCAGUUUGAAAAGGAAAAUUAUCUUCAGAGAUACUUAACCUAACCCUUCAUUAACCCCAGAUUUCUUUUUUCAACCACCUAAUCAUGAAUGAAUGAGAAAACUGGAAUACCAAUAUAGCACUUAAAUAUUUCCAAAAAUAAAGCCUUAAGAGAAUGUGAAUUCAUGGGCCAGAAAAGUCUGAAGAGAAUUCUCAAAAUCAUAAAUUUUCAUAGAAUCAUAAAAUUCGGGGAACUUAAUUAGAAGUUAGCUAAUUUGAAUCUCUAUUCAAGGCAAAAUAUCUUCAAAGAAUUCUUGUAAAAUGAUGUUCAGCUUCAGUUGGGUUACCGCCAGUGACAAGGGACACAAAGUCAACUCCAUUUUCAAAUACUUUUAAUUUUUAGGAAACAGCAAACUCAUUUUAAUUUCUACCUGUUGGCAAUACUUACACCAUCUGAAAGGAGAAAUGAGGGAUUAGAUCUACUCUUUCUUCGAAUAAUAGUAGAGGCUGCUGUUUACUUACCUGAACAUUCCUCAAUCCUUUGGACUACAGUCUUAAGUGUUAUAUCUACAAAUGGCCAUCCUUCAGCAGUGUGUCUAUUUUUGGUGCUUCUCUAUGUCUGCCAUGAUCUCACUUAAGCAUUGCAAUAACUCCAUAAGUUGAUAUUAUUGUCCCCACCACAUGGAUAAGAAUUCUGGAGUCUCAGGGAAGUUCCAACCCCUGGUCACUGAGUUGUUCCCUUCCCUUCUAGAUGAAUUUAUUUGUUAGUAAGUCUUAAAAGCACUUGAGAAUUGAGCCUGUGGAUGAUAGGUUUUUUGAGCAGGUAUGGGCAGUAGACAUUAAGAACUGGAAGAAACACAUUAGGAAAAAUGAAAACCUGUCAGGAAUUGUGACAAUAAUCAAAGUGCUGAGAUUGGCAUGAUUAAUGACAGGUAGCACAAGGUCAGGGUGAUGUUCCCAUGAUGUUGGGGCCAGAGUAGGCAGCAGGUUAGGGGAUGAGAAGAGAUUGGGGGAUUGAUUUAGUAGUCCUCAAGUAUUGAUCAAGAAGUUCUUGAUCAAAAUCAACCAAAUUCCAUUGUUAUAUUGUAUGCACGUAUGAAUAUGUAACAACAAAUCUCACCAUUAUGUAUAAUUAUAAUGCAGUAAUAAAAUAUAUUUAAAUAGCAAAAAAUAAUUAGGGGAAAAAAGGAAGUUCUAUGUGCUAGCUCUAUGCUGGGUGUUGGGAAUGGAUUUCGAAGAAAACAAAUAUGUCCCUUCCUUCAUGGAGAUGAAAGUCUGGUGGGGAAAGGGACAUUAAAUGAAUCAGCAUAGAGACAGGUGUAUGCAAAUGUCAAGUGAUUUGUAAGUGUUGGUAAUUAUGAGGAAAGAAAAGAACGAGGCUCUAAAAAGUGGUCCAGACUAUCUGAUAUAGGGGAUGUGCUAGUAGCCUUAAGGGUGGUUGGCCAUUCUGAUGGUGAGAAGACCAUCUCCCUGGCCAAAGGGCUGUGCUCCAUGUCUGGCCAACUGCCCCACCCUGCCAGCUGCGGAUUGGGCUGGGACAGAAUCCAACUGGAGUUUUGGAUAAUGACAGUCUGGAAGCACCCUCUAAUGUUACGGGAAGGAAUAUAGUAGAGAAGGAGUUGAGGAAGGAAGAAUUUUAAUUGAGACUGGCUUGGGGGAUGGUGAGAACAGUUCUUUUCCUGGACUUAGGAAAAGCCCCAGCAACCAUGUUGACAGGGUUGGGGAUAAGGUUUAGAGUGAUCCCAUGUGGUGUCUCAGAAUGUGUACUUACAGCCCAGCUAAAACUACUAUAAUGAGCUAAGAAUUCUUCCACUGCUCUGUUUGGCUCAUUUACUGUUCCAAAGAUGCCUUCUCAAUGCUUGUCCUCCUAGCUUACUAUAUCAGCGAAGAAAUGGAUAGAGAAGGCACAUUGGCUUUUAUUUUUUCAUGCUCCUAGAGGCUAUGACCUCAUCUUACAUCGACAAUGACUCUCCUUCCAAAUAAGGAGAGGUUUAGGACUUCAACCUAUCUUUUUGGCACAUUUCAACCCAGGGACAGAAACAGAGAACAGCUAAUCAUUACCAUCAGGAAAGCAAACACCUUUUCCUGGGGUCAGUUAAAGAUCCCCAAGCAGUCUGCACACUUGGGAGAAGGACGAGAGUCUCUGUGUCUCAAAGGAUCUCAGAAACUGCUGGUGGGGAGGGCAUUCUCCUUGCUCCAGGAAUUGCUUGAAAAACAGAACUCUAGCUUCACAAGCUGUGAGAAGGAAGAUGCCUGAGGAAGGCAUCUCUCACAGCUGCUAGGAGAGGUGGUGCAGCCUUCUCCAUGGUAGGGGCUGGACAAGAUAGUCCCUCAUAAAUCCUUGCAUACUACAUACCCUCCUUUUAUUAGAUUAUUGCUCUAUUUUGAGCCCUGUCCAGGUUAAUGCAUGUGCUACUUUCUCUGCCACAGAAUAUGGCAGAGCCCACAAGCUGCAGUAUGUUGUCAAGUGUGUGCAUCUACUGCCACCAUGUGCCCAAAAGACUCCAUGGCUAGAGUGAUCAGAGUCACCUUAGCAAGAAUAGGGGUAAAGGAGAGCAUUUCUGAUCAUUGUGUUGGGACAGCAGGUGUAAAUCAUGAGUGUUCCAGGUGCUAUAUAGUCACCCAUCCAUGAAAAGGGAAGCAAGUUGUGCAGGGGAGCAAGAGGAUGGGCAAAGAUUUUCCCAAGGGAAUUCUGGCAGUUUCCGGUUUGUCCCACUGGCCUACAUUUGUUCUCAGAACCAAGUUUCCUCUGAGAUCUACACUGGCCAUCUUGUGCCUCAAAGUUAACAACACAUUAAAGAGUUUUGAACUCCUUUGGCACAAAGAAUAAGGAAAUCGCAACAAUGCACAUUAAAGAAAAAAAAAACUUUCUAUGUUGCCUAUGUACUUGACAGGUCCAAACACACUUAAAAAGUUUUUUCUGACUUUAAAGGUGCAUUUUAAAUCAAUAAAGGAUCAAAAAGUCCAGAAAGGGCCUCUGUGUGUAUGCGUGUUUCAAAAUUGACAUAUUAUUUACAUAUGGAAAAAUAAAAGUAAAAUAUUUGUUUUAUAAUUGCUUCUUAGUCUGGAUACGGAUUUCUGUUCAUAGUGGGGAUGAG